rnacentral:rRNA from 1 species
GAUGAACGCUGGCGGCGUGCUUAACACAUGCAAGUCGAACGAUGAAGCCCAGCUUGCUGGGUGGAUUAGUGGCGAACGGGUGAGUAACACGUGAGUAACCUGCCCUUGACUCUGGGAUAAGCCUGGGAAACUGGGUCUAAUACCGGAUAUGACUUCUCAUCGCAUGGUGGGGGGUGGAAAGAUUUAUUGGUCUUGGAUGGACUCGCGGCCUAUCAGCUUGUUGGUGAGGUAAUGGCUCACCAAGGCGACGACGGGUAGCCGGCCUGAGAGGGUGACCGGCCACACUGGGACUGAGACACGGCCCAGACUCCUACGGGAGGCAGCAGUGGGGAAUAUUGCACAAUGGGCGCAAGCCUGAUGCAGCGACGCCGCGUGAGGGAUGACGGCCUUCGGGUUGUAAACCUCUUUCAGUAGGGAAGAAGCGAGAGUGACGGUACCUGCAGAAGAAGCGCCGGCUAACUACGUG